UGAAUACGAGACGCUACGGCGUCGAAGCAGUCUAUGUCAUACUUCCAAGAAAAGCUUGCACUGUCAUAAACAAAUAAUGCCUGUACCAUAACCGACACAGGUGGGUAGGUAGAGUAUACUAAGGGGCGCGAGAUAACUCUCUCUAAGGAACUCGGCAAAAUGACUCCGUAACUUCGGGAGAAGGAGUGCCUUAUUUAUAAGGUUGCAAUAACAAGAUCCGAGCAACUGUUUAUCAAAAACACAGGUCUCCGCUAAGUCGUAAGACGAUGUAUGGGGGCUGACGCCUGCCCAGUGCCAGAAGGUUAAAGAAGUUGGUUAGCAUUAGCGAAGCUGAUAACUGAAGCCCUGGUGAACGGCGGCCGUAACUAUAACGGUCCUAAGGUAGCGAAAUUCCUUGUCGGGUAAGUUCCGACCCGCACGAAAGGCGUAAUGAUUUGGAUACUGUCUCGGAGAGGGGCUCGGUGAAAUAGACUUGUCUGUGAAGAUGCGGACUACCUGCACCUGGACAGAAAGACCCUAUGAAGCUUUACUGUAACCUGAAAUUGAAAUUGGACUUUAUUUGCGCAGUAUAGGUGGGAGGCGUUGAGAAUAUUCUUGCGGGAAUAUUGGAGCCAUCAGUGAGAUACCACUCUUGUAAUGUUAGAUUUCUAACUUUGAAUCAUUAUCUGGUCAAAGAACAGUUUCAGGCGGGCAGUUUGACUGGGGCGGUCGCCUCCUAAAUGGUAACGGAGGCGCACAAAGGUUUCCUCUGAACGGGUAGAAAUCGUAUCUAGAGUGUAAAGGCAUAAGGAAGCUUGACUGUGAGACCUACAAGUCGAGCAGGGACGAAAGUCGGUCUUAGUGAUCUGACGGUGCUGAGUGGAAAGGCCGUCACUCAACGGAUAAAAGUUACUCUAGGAUAACAGGCUGAUCUCCCCCAAGAGUUCACAUCGACGGGGAGGUUUGGCACCUCGAUGUCGGCUCAUCGCAUCCUGGGGCGGUAGUACGUCCCAAGGGUUGGGCUGUUCGCCCAUGAAAGCGGUACGCGAGCUGGGUUCAGAACGUCGUGAGACAGUUCGGUCCAUAUCCGGUGUAGGCGUUAGAAUAUUGAGAGGAGCCUUCUUUAGUACGAGAGGACCGAGAAGGACAUACCUCUGGUGUACCAGUUAUCGUGCCAACGGUAAACGCUGGGUAGCUAUGUAUGGAGAGGAUAACCGCUGAAAGCAUCUAAGUGGGAAGCCCACCUCAAGAUAAGUAUUUUC
rnacentral:rRNA from 1 species